AUUGAACGCUGGCGGCAGGCUUAACACAUGCAAGUCGAACGAGUGGCGGACGGGUGAGUAAUGUCUGGGAAACUGGCUGAUGGAGGGGGAUAACUACUGGAAACGGUAGCUAAUACCGCAUACCAUCGGAUGAGCCCAAGUGGGAUUAGGUAGUUGGUGGGGUAAAGGCUCACCAAGGCGACGAUCCCUAGCUGGUCUGAGAGGAUGACCAGCCACACUGGGACUGAGACACGGCCCAGACUCCUACGGGAGGCAGCAGUGGGGAAUAUUGCACAAUGGGGGCAACCCUGACGCAGCCAUGCCGCGUGAAUGAAGAAGGCCUUCGGGUUGUAAAGUACUUUCAGUAGGGAGGCGUUACCCGCAGAAGAAGCACCGGCUAACUCCGUGCCAGCCGCCGCGGUAAUAC
rnacentral:rRNA from 1 species